UACGUAGGUGGCAAGCGUUGUCCGGAAUUAUUGGGCGUAAAGCGCGUGUAGGCGGCUUUGCAAGUCGGGUGUGAAAUCCCUCAGCUUAACUGAGGAAGUGCGCCCGAAACUGCAGAGCUUGAAUACCGGAGAGGAUGGCGGAAUUCCCCAAGUAGAGGUGAAAUUCGUAGAUAUGGGGAGGAACACCGGUGGCGAAGGCGGCCAUCUGGACGGAUAUUGACGCUGAGACGCGAAAGCGUGGGUAGCAAACAGG
rnacentral:rRNA from 1 species